AGGACUUCAAGAUAGAAAUGCAUUUCCUCCAUGUGCGAAUGAAGAAACUAGAGAAGACAUCACCAUUUUCCCUUCUAGAAAAUAUAUCCCAGGUAGUAGGGGAUUUCAGAGCUGACUGAAUGAUGCAACCAAAAGAACCUCCUGACUGAGCAUAAGAAAUACCCGCAGAUCCAAUGUGCAGCUUGAGGAGUGGAAUGAAGGUCAACUGAAGGCAGAAAUAGACAAAUGCUCCUCUAAAGGAGCCAGAGACUGGUGCCCACAAGAGAUGCUUGGAGAUGGGAGACAUGAGAGGUGGGCCCAGUGCAAAGAGAUAUUUUUACGUCUAGUUUGGAAAAAAAAAGUCCUUGCUCAAAUAUCUGAGAACAUUUUUAUUAUGAAAACCUGGGAUGAACCACUGUGAAGAUUGAUGCCCCCAUCACAAGGUCAGAGAACAACAGCACCGUCUACUGGACAGAGGACUGAGUUCAUUGGUGGUGUUCUGUGCGAUGGCCCUGAGGAAAAUAUGGCUGAAGCUGUGGGCCAGUGUACAGAAAGAGAAGCCAUGAAAGAGGACCCAGCCAUUUCUACACUCAGCAGAUCUUGUGAGAGGCAACUGUUAUGGGGGAUUAUUCCCAAAACAAAUUCAAGGUCUUGAGAGUUGCCCUUAAAAAAGUUAAACAAAGUUAUUCCCUAUACAUCUGUAUCACCCCCAGCCAUCUAC
rnacentral:lncRNA from 1 species